UAAUAAUAUGAAACAAACGUUGGUGAUAAUAUCGAAACAAUGUCUGGUGGAAGUAUAGCUGGUAGGGCUGCGUUUUAUAUUUUAUAUGUUUUGUAUGGAGAAAUAUGUGCAAUAGAUGGAAAAAUUAAUUAAUAAAUAUGAAACUUUUGAACUGGUUGCAUUAUUGCCCUAUAUAUUUAUUAAAAUACAAAAUGUU
rnacentral:lncRNA from 1 species